rnacentral:rRNA from 1 species
CCUACGGGGGGCUGCAGUAGGGAAUAUUGGACAAUGGGCGCAAGCCUGAUCCAGCCAUGCCGCGUGAGUGAAGAAGGCCCUCGGGUUGUAAAGCUCUUUUGUCCGGAAAGAAAAGCAAUCGGUUAAUACCCGGUUGUUCUGACGGUACCGGAAGAAUAAGCACCGGCUAACUUCGUGCCAGCAGCCGCGGUAAUACGAAGGGUGCAAGCGUUACGCGGAAUGUGCGUAGGUAAAUCGUUCGUAGGGAUGUGAAAGCCCUGGGCUCAACCUGGGAAUGGCAUUGGAUACUGGCGGGCUAGAGUGCGGUAGAGGGUAGUGGAAUUCCCGGUGUAGCAGUGAAAUGCGUAGAGAUCGGGAGGAACAUCUGUGGCGAAGGCGACUGCCUGGACCAGCACUGACACUGAGGCACGAAAGCGUGGGGAGCAAACAGGAUUAGAUACCCCAGUAGUC